UGUCANAAGGUAAAUUCUUGGAUUUUUGGAAGACGAACGGAUGCGAAAGCGUUUGGCAAGGAUAUACCCAUUGAUCAAGGACGAAAGUUAGGGGAUCGAAGACGAUUAGAUACCGUCGUAGUCUUAACCAUAAACGUUGCCAUCUAAAAGAUGGUGUACUGAAAUANAAUCGUACAUCCUUUUUUUCCGGGAAACCAAAGAUUUUGGGUUCUGGGGGGAGUAUGGUCGCAAGUCUGAAACUUAAAGGAAUUGACGGAAGGGCACCACCAGGAGUGGAGCCUGCGGCUUAAUUUGACUCAACACGGGGCAACUUACCAGGUCCGGACAUUUUUAUGAUUGACAGAUUGAUAGCUCUUUCAUGAUUGAAUGGGUGGUGGUGCAUGGCCGUUCUUAGUUGGUGGAGUGAUUUGUCUGGUUAAUUCCGUUAACGAACGAGACCUUUUCCUGCUAACUAGUAGCGAUAUUUUUUUUGAUAAAAUAUUGUCUACUUCUUAGAGGUACUAUUCGUUUUUCACGGAUGGAAGCUUUAGGCAAUAACAGGUCUGUGAUGCCCUUUGAUGUCCUGGGCUGCACGCGGGCUACACUGAUGCAUUCAAAGAGUGAACAAUAUCCUAUUCUGAAAGGAAUCUAGGUAAUCUUUUAACUUGCAUCGUGCUUGGGAUUGAAAACUGUAACUGGNUCAGAA
rnacentral:rRNA from 1 species